rnacentral:rRNA from 1 species
UACAGAGGGGGCAAGCGUUAUUCGGAAUUAUUGGGCGUAAAGGGCGCGUAGGCGGCUUUGCAAGUGACGGGUGAAAUCCCUCGGCUUAACCGAGGAACUGCCUGUCAAACUGCAUGGCUUGAGACCGGGAGAGGUGAGUAGAAUUCCCAGUGUAGCGGUGAAAUGCGUAGAUAUUGGGAGGAACACCAGUGGCGAAGGCGGCUCACUGGACCGGUACUGACGCUGAUGCGCGAAAGCGUGGGAGCAA